rnacentral:lncRNA from 1 species
AAUGCUGCAAAUUAGUUUCCUUGAUGAAAACAAAAUAUGCGCAGCACAGACACAAGAUGCUAGCUAUAAUUUUACAAAAAUUACAAAAAGAUAAACAAGUACAUGACUGAAACAUAAUGUUCCAGAGCUUGUACUAAUCGCUGGAUGCUGCCUUUGCUGCGUGCAGGGUUCCAGUGCUUGGAGAGCACAGGGUUCUUUGGCAUCUCCACGAACCUGGUCGUAUACCUGGAGAAAGUCCUCCACGGCAGCAAUCUGGCCAGCGCCUCCAAAGUCACUACAUGGACCGGCACCAGCUACCUGACCCCGAUCUUCGGCGCCAUCAUCGCCGACACCUUCUUGGGCAACUACAACACCAUCCUCAUCUCCCUCGUCGUCUACCUUCUUGUAAGUCGUAGAUCGUUCAUGUUGAUCCAUGGCAUGCGCAUUGAUCGGUCACGGCAAUGAUGCUAACAGAUUCUAUGCCUGUCGCGUGCCACCUGCAGGGGAUGAUGUCCGUGACCUUCUCCGCGUUCCUGCCCACGGCCGCGGUGCUCGGCGGCUCCUCGGUGUUCGGCGCUCAAACCGUCGCGUUCAUCGGGCUGUAUCUCGUCGCGAUCGGGAGCGGCGGGGUGCGCUCGUCGCUGCUGCCGUUCGGCGCGGAGCAAUUCGACGACGACAAUGAGAAAGACCGGGAAAGCAAGGGCUCCUUCUUCAGCUGGUUCUACCUCUGCGUCAGCUUCGGCCCGAUCGUCUCCGGUCUGUUCAUUGUGUGGAUACAGGACAACGUCAGCUGGGGCCUCGGCUUCGGCAUCUCCACCGCCUGCAUCGCUCUCGCUUUCGGCGUCUUCGUUCUCGCCACACCCAUGUACAAGCGCCGCAUGCCCACCGGCACGCCGCUCAAGCGCCUGAGCCAGGUCAUCGUCGCCGCCUGCCGGAAGAUUAGCCGCAAGGUGCCUGCCGACGCGAGCUUGCUCUACGAGGUCAGCGACAAGGUGGACCCCCAGCCCAAGCUCGCACACACCGGUGAUUUCUCAUUACUUGACAAGGCGGCCGUCAUCACCGAGUCGGACUUUGAGGAGGUAACGGAGGAGGCCGGCUCGUCGUGGAAGUUAUGCACCGUGACGCAGGUGGAGGAACUGAAGAUCCUGCUGCGGCUUCUGCCCAUCUGGGCGACCAGCAUCAUCGUGUCCGCGGCGUACGCGCAGAUGAACACUACCUUCAUCCAGCAGGGCAGCGCCAUGAACAUGUCCAUCCUGUCGGUGUCAGUGCCGCCUGCGUCGAUGGCAUCGUUCGAGGUAGCUUGCGUCUUUUCUUGGGUGAUGCUCUACAGCAAGGUGAUCGUGCCAGCGCUGAGGGGCUUCAGUUCCGGCGGCGACGGCGAGCCAUCGCUGCUGCAGCGAAUGGGCGCCGGCCGGCUCCUCAUGGCUCUUGCAAUGGCGGUCUCUGGACUCGUGGAGAUGAAGCGGCUCGACAGCGCGGCGCGCGGCGAGGAGAUCUCCAUAGCGUGGCAGCUCCCGCAGUACUUCUUCCUGGCCGGCGCCGAGGUGUUCUGCUACAUCGCGCAGCUGGAGUUCUUCUACGCCGAGGCGCCGGACACCAUGAAGAGCACGUGCACGUCGCUGGCGCUGCUCACCAUCGCGCUGGGCAGCUACCUCUGCUCGUUCAUCUACGCCAUCGUGGCCGCCUUCACGGCCACGGCGGACAGCCCCGGGUGGAUCUGCGACAACCUCAAUCAGGGCCACCUCGACUACUUCUUCUGGACCAUGGCCGCAAUGUGCACGCUCAACUUCGUCGUGUACAGCGGCUUCGCCAAGAACUACAAGUUCAAGACUGUGCUCUCAUGACGUGCUUCCAUUGCACAGUGCCCAUAAUGACCAAUUGGUGAUUGGUGAAGGGUGACUAGCAAGUAGCAAUGCAAGCACUAGCUCAACGGCUAGUACAUAGGAAACGUACAGCGGUAGAGUAGAAAAAAAAAUGCAGGAAUUUAUUUUGCCCUUUUCCUUUUCUUUUUAAGUUUUGAAGAAACUGCACAGAUUUCUGUCGGCAGCGACAGUUUUUCUUUUGAAACUUUCUUUUGUUUUUUCACAUACAGACAUACAGUUGAUGAGUUGAAAGACUAGUGACAUUGGUGUUAACGUGCCUUUUCUCCUGACUCAGCGAAGGAAAUUUGCAUUUUAAAUUGGAUGUCGCCAUUGCAGUGAAUUUUUUAAACACAAUUUAUAUACACCAUGUCGCCUCGACUGUGUUUUGACUUUGCUAUUCAAUGUUUGACCCUUUGUUAUUUCUCCGAGUAUUUGUGCAAACAGUUAGAAAUAUACGAUGUGCUUAACUUUUUUUUUUGAAACUGUAAAUCGGCAGGAGUGCUGCCAUAUCAUAUAAGAGAGAUAGAGAGAGUUCAAGGUUACAUCGUGGUGAUUACAUAAAAAACGGUUAAGCUCACAAAUCUCGAAAUGAAACGACUCUAUCAUUGAUACUAUGGAAUUAAAGGUGCUCCACAUGCUCUUUGUCUCAAACCGAUUUCUUCCUUGAUUAGGCCGAGAACUGAUUGGUCCGUUUAUACCACAUAUUCCAGCAUGUGUCAUAACAGCCGCAAUUGCUCUUUUUCUUUCCUUUGUCACUUCCUGCAAAGACCGGUGCCACCAUUCUUGGAGAUCAACGUCUGUCCGCGGUAGUGGCACCAGGUGGUUUGUCCAAGAAUGAAUGAGCUGCCAAACUUGAGCUGCAUAUGGGCACUAGAUGCAAAGAUGCAUAGCCGUCUCAGGUGCUCCCAGACAGAGGGACAUAUGGGGUUACACGACCAAUUUCUCUCUAUCAGUCGAUCAGCAGUGAGGAUUCUAUUCUGCAAUAGGAGCCGAGUGAAGAACCUAUGCUUUCCCUCAGCCUAUGCUUUCCAUAUUGCUUUAGCUUGGAAGGUGCAGAGAGUUCCUUUGAACUGAAUAGCAUAUGCUGAUUUGGCAGUGUAAUUGCCACAUUGUGUCCAUCUCUAUACAAUUUCAUCUUGAUUGUCACUGAAAGUAGUGUCCUGGACAAGUUCCAAGGGGUUAAUAAAUUCAGCCAAUUCAGUAGCAGAACUCAUCCUCCAUAGACCCCUCGUCCAAUUGUGGUCAGUUAAUUCCUCAUAAACAUUCGUGUGCUUUCUCCAAACUAAUUUGUAUAAGUUUGGCGCAGGAUCUCUUGGAGCCUCGCCAUUCAGCCAUGAAGAACCCCUAAAUUCGGCCUUUUGGCCAUUGCUAAUCUGCACAACUAUACUGGCUCGAAAUAGCUGCAGAUCUAGCUCAUUUACAGGGGCUUCAGUGCCCAUCCAAGGAUGAUCUGGCUCUUUCCACUAAAACCAUACCCAUCUCAGCCUCAGAGCUCUACUGAACCUUUCCAGGUCACGUGUGCCCACGGCUUCAUAUUCCUUUGGUCUCUGAACAUCUGUCAUUCAUUUGACGAGGCAGUGUCCUCCAUUAGUUUCAGCUUCUCCCUUCGAAAGGAAAUUCCUUCUAAUCUUGUCUAUUUUCUUUAUUGCCUACUUUUUCAGCGAGAAGACAGAUAAGAUGUAAACAGGGAAAGCUGAUAGAACUGAAUUUACAAGCACCAAUCUUCCUACCCUGUUCAUCAACCAGCCUUUCCAUCUUGGCAGCCUUGUCGCAACCUUGUCAAUGAGGGGCUGUACAUCAAUCUUUCUGAGGGCUCUGGUGUGAAGUGGCAAUCCAAGAUAAGUGCAAGGGAAGCUUUUGACUGGACAUUGGAAACUUUGCAUGAUCUCCUCUAUAUUUAGUGUAUCAUAGUGAAUUUUAUAAACAACACUUUUGCUUCUAUUAGUUAGUAAACUUGAUGCUGUGCCAAAAGCUUCUAAGAUAUCAGCCACCACUCUUACUUCCUCACUGUCAGACUUCAGAAAUAUGGCCACAUCAUUAGCAAACAUGCUGAUUCUAGCUAUAACAUUCCUAUUCUGAAUCUCAGAUAGCAGCCCCUGGGAUGCAGCAAUGGUGAGCAUUUUUUGUAGUGGCUCCAUGGCCAGGAUGAACAACAUAGCGCUUAAGGGAUAUCCUUGACGCAGGCCUGUCCUAUGUUUGAACCACGGUCCUCCUGUGCCAUUCAGUAGAACUGAUGUCGUAGCAGUAGAUAAAAGGGUUGAGACCCAGCUUCGCCAUCUUGCUCCAAAGCCCAUAUGUUGCAGCACUUCCAUAAGGUAAUCCCACCUUACACUAUCAAAAGCUUUUUUGAUGUCCAGCUUUAGAAAUAGAGCAGGUUUCUUAGCACGGUGUAGAGCCUGAACCAUGUUCUGGGUGAAGAGGAAGUUGUCUUGUAUGCGUCUUCUCUAUGCUUAACUUAUUUUGGCUUAGUGAUAUUUUUUCACUUAACUAAAAUAUUUGAACAAAUAUCUUUACUCAAAGUUUUGUACUAAAAGUCAAAAGUUACCGUUGUGAGGAAAUUAAGAUUUAGUACAUGAAUAGUUUCAUCUAAUCGGAUAUGUUUAAAUUGCAAAAAGAUUAACCAUUGAUGUUUGAAUUUGAACGAUGCCAAGACAUGUCUAUAUAUUUAACUUUCGCGAAUGAUCGUUUGUGGCGGAACCGCCCAAAUUAACCCGGCUAAAAUGCACUUAAGUCGCCUGACACGCGAUCAUGCACUUUAAGCAAGUCAACUUGGUCGUCCGUCGAUUUCAUCCGAUAAACUACUUACACAGAAUCGAGAAGAAUUGCUCCUACGAAGGUGAGUGGCACAGAGAUUACAACAUUGCCAUCACAUUAACAUAGUUCAACAAAUUAUUACAUCAGAGUUUUAAAAUUCAAACAAGUUUGCAAGGUUCCAAUAAAGACGAAGUAAAACAAGCGGAAGCUAAACGUCGAUACACGAUAUCAUGGCGAAGCCGAUCAUGACAUCAAUGAUCCCUGCCCUCGCCGUCCGAGGAGGGAUCCCACUCGACUGUCCAGCCCGGAGGGAGCUGGGUAGGCCAAGUGGUACCAGCAACCAUGCUAUCGACAUCACCUGAAAAGUUAAGCCACAACAAGACUGGGCAACUAAUACUCAGCAAGACUGACCCGACAGGUAAAAGCUAUUGUCACCAACUCCUAACAUGCAAGGCCUUUUAGCUCUGGGUUUGUUUUGCCAAAAGCGUCUAUGGUCGGUCCUUAUUUUCAAUAUUUUAGCUCAAGUUCUACGUUCAUUAACCAGUCUAGAUUAGCAACUUAUACAAAGUAAGCAUAGUUUUCCCAAACACUUAAAGAACAAGCAUCAAGAUUAAUAUAUCCUCAUGUUCCAUCUUUACUCAGUGCAGAAUAGCGAUCAAGCAGCCCCAAACUGUGAGAGGCAGACAAAUUGACUCGAAUUUAUUAACCAUGCAUGGUGAACCUAAUCUCACGACAUCCGCGCACCAUGAAGGGUCGCUUCAUUUGUCAGUCGUCCCCAUCGAUCCCCAGGCACGUGUCAGGGCCAAACUUCCCUUGGCAUGCAAUGCUCCACAGUCCCGGCCUCUGUCGUAUUGUGACCGCACUUGCACCCACAUGAUGCACCAUGGGAACCUCAUUCCAGGGACAGCAGGAGUAUAAGCCACGCCCUAGUUCAAUCAGGUACUAGGCUUUCCCAUCCCAUACUAGGUAUGAGAUUAGUACCUUCAAACACUUGAUCACGAACGCUGACACGUUUCGACCUUAGUCCAUUUUCUUUUAGAUAGAUGGGGCAAACCACCAAGUACCAAACAUAAGCCCGGCCCUGUCCAUCGUCCUUAUAGUUGCAACAUAAAUAAAGCACUCAACUCCUACAACUCACGAGUGACAGAAAAUCACUCGACUUUUACCGAGACCUAUUAAGCAUUGCAACUAUUCGACCUUAGCAUGCUAGUGUUCAGAUCAAAGGAUACUAAGUUCAUGCAUCUAAGGUUUCAGACAAUGUCUAAUAACUUAAAUGCACAAUCAUAAUCAACAUAAUUCAUUGCAGAAGUUUACAAAACCAGGAUAUGUUCCAGGGCUUGCCUUUAGGAAAAGUUAGCGGUUCCUCGGGGUCUUGAUCUAGCUCGGACUCAACUUCUAAGUGAUGAAGCUCCGCAGCAGGUUCGUCUUCCGGCGUAGGGUGGAGCUCGUAGGUUCCGUCGGCGAGAUUAGCUUCUACACGACAUGCACAUGCAGGAAUUUAGUUUCAUCCAUGCGCGAACACAAACGAUGCACGACAUGGAUUAUGGUAGAAAGGAAGUUGCAUAUAGGCCACAUUCACCUAGACAAGGUUUUUACUUUCUUUAACUUCAUAAAGUAAGGUGGUUGGUUUAAACUUGAGGUUGACUUUGAUGGUGACUGUGUACACAUUUAGGUUUUUGCAACUUAGAGUUGCACAAAGAGAGUGGAAGGUCAUGUUUGGGGUGGUUCAAGUGCAUUUGGAGAGUUAUUCCUGCCUGAAUGUUUUUUUGUAUCUCUUCCAAAAUUACUUAUUUAGCUUAUUAGGAUUUAUGUAUCUUUUUGUUCCUUUAAGUCGAUUAUUUAGCCAAAGAAUGGUUCCACAACAAACAGCAACCCAAGGUACUGAGAACAUUACAGCACCUCACUAAAGUCAUUAAUAAUUUACUGUAAAAUUUUAGGAGCUAUUGGAUUACCACAAAAAGAAUUAGACGCAUAUCAUCAUUAAAGGUAGCAUGCACUUAACUAUUUCUAUCUCCAAACCUACAGUGAAUCUGAGAGUGAAAAUUUACCAAUAUGUUGAAGGUGUGUUACAAAAGUUUUGGUAAAUUUUUCAUGAUUUUUGGAGAAAGACAACUAUUUCCCCUAUUUAUCUCCUAUUUAAACAUGCUUUACAAGGAAGGUGGGUUUCUUUCUAAUUCUGACCACAACUCAUAUUUUUCCUGUAAUCUACCUCUCAAAACUGAGCUACUCCAAGUGGUUUCAUAUUUUUCUCAGUUCUGGAUUAAAACUUAUGCAAAAAGUAAGAUUUAACCCUAGAUUUCAGAUAUAAGGUUAAAACAGGAACUUUAAGUUCUACUCCAGGGUCCUAAAUAUUUUUCUGAGCUUCUACUCAUUGCAACAUUCACCAUAGAGUUGAAUUUACCUAUUUAACAUUUUUCUUCUGUUUACUAUGAUUUAAAAGGCCUAAACAAGGAAUAAAACCAUAGGAUAUUAUUUACAAUACUAACAUGAGCAAACUUAAUUUUGUAAGAAACUAGACAGAACAAGGAUCCCAACAAAAGUGAUUUGGUAUUUUUCUGAUUUUUCUACGAUUUACUGGGCAUUUACAAAAUUUAACCCUUUUUCUGCCGAUUUUUAAACUAAAACCGUGGCAAACUUGCACUCUACCCCCUACGUCUAUGGUUUAUUCACGUAGGGGUCCCUGAGUUUUGCACCUAGGCCCCUAGAAAGAUCGGGGAAGACCCAAUGUCGUCCCCGGGGGUGCGCACGGCGGCGGCGGCGAAAUCCUCAGCGAUUCGCCGGCGGAGAUCGGGCAACAAGUUGCCGGAGAGGCUCAGGGGCUCACCUGAGCUCGACUUGGCGGAGUUGUGGUGACGGAGAUGGCCGACGAGGGUUGGAACAUGGCGGCGGCAACGGGGCUUGGCGAGUGUUGGUGCGGGCGGCGUUCCGGCACACCGGCGGCAUCGGGAGGGCAACGAGCGGCUCGGGGACGUGCGCGGUGGGGUGGUGAAGCAGGCGGAGAAGUCGUCGGAGUGCGGGGCGGUGCGGAGGUGGGAGCUCCACGGGAGCCUGGCGGCGGCGCAGAGGAAAAGCAGGGGCGCGGCGUACGGGAGGUGGCAAAAGGGUGGCGCUAACGGCGAGCUCGGCCCUUUUGUAGGGUAGAGGUGGAGCACAGGGUCAAGGCGGGGCUCCAAGCAUGGGAGGAUAAGGCCGGGGAGAGUGGGUGCAUGGGCGAGGUGGCCAUUGGCCGGAGGCUCCAUUGGCCUUGGGAAGUAGAGCUCCGGGGACAGGAUCCUCAGGGCAUUGGGCAAGGAAGAUAGUGUCAGGCAAGCGUGGAUUUGCCGGGCGGGAGGAUUGGCGAGGUCGGGCAUGCGUCUGGUCGCGUCAAGCGCUGGAUUGGGGGGACGGCACGGCCAGUGCCUGGCGGUGGCGUGGCGUGCGAGGGGGAGGAAGGCACGGACGCCGGUUGGGCGGAGCGGCUCGCGCGCACGGGGAGGGAGACAGCCUCGGCGGUGAUUGGCCAGCACGGCGCUCGCCCCAUCUUGUCGUGGGCGCGGGUAGGGCAACGACGAGCUCGCCGGUGGAUGGCGGCCACGCGGCGGAUGGCGUGCGGGUGAACAUGCCCAGGCGCGCUGGCGUCGAGGCAAUGUCGGGCAGCAAACCAGACCAGCUUUGAGGGUCCUCCACUCAAGAUUUUCAAACUAAACGGUCGAAUAUCCCUUAAGAAAACUUGUAGUAAUUUGGUCAUAGUUCAAACUUUAUUAAAAGUGUUUGCUCAGAUUUUGAAGGGAUUUGGAGAUAACUCGAGCCAAAGUUUGCCAAAAACUAGAGAUUUCGUACUUAGGCAUUUCAGCCGAGUUGGUGGAAUUUUAGGAGUUUAGCUGUUUUUUACUCGACUUUAGGGCAGCUUCUGAGUUGAAUUAGACCAAGGUGCUAUUGAAAGAGUUUCUCUUCGGUCUUAGGACUUUAACUUCUAUUAAGGGUUUUUCUUGAGUUUAGUUCAAAAAUUUGGAGGAACACCCUCGCCAAGAGGCGCACUCUGGACGGUUUCCAGACUUGGAGCUGGAAGGCCCAGAGGGAUGAGUUGAUUGUUUUACCCGACUUUGACCAAGUUUUUGAGUAGGUUAGGUGUCAAUUUGGACUAGGGUCAGUGUAACAAAGUUGGAACAGACUCAAGGGACUACAAGUUUUAUUAAAGGUAUGACUUGAUGUUAGAUAUGAAUUUGUGAGAUAACAGGUUGGAAAGUUGAAGAAAAACUUGAAUUCCAGGACUCAAGUUGUUUGUAGGGUUUUAUUAUACUCCUGUUUUGAUUAUUAUUUUUGACCUUCUUCCACUUCGAAUUAGCCAAAGUGUCUUUAACAAAAGUUGUUUGAAAUUAAAAUUUUUACAACCCUUAUUUGGGCAAAAUUUUAUGUUUGUAUAUAGAAACUCAAGUUUUAUUUUUAACUCAAAAAGAGCUUUGUAGGGUCAAAAUGGACAUUUCACCUCUUUUGCUUAGUGACUAACAACUUGUUUAGGUUUAAUUAUACCUAAUUAAGGCAGAGUUGUAACACCGCUGUAUGAACACUCAAGAUCGGGUUUCAAGUAUGACUGGGUGGAGCCAACAGGGGCCUAGCCCCCCUAAUGGUGCGGUUUGUCCGGAGGAUCACCCCUUUUGGGCCCGUUUGGUUCCCAGGGAACCAUUGCCUGGAACGAUUCCUAGCCGGAUUGCUUGCCUAAUUUAUAUAACAUUUUGAUCAGCUGGAACGGUUCUAGAUGGAUUCCGGGCUAACCGAACGGGCCUUAAUCUUCCUGCUCCGACUUUUUUGUUUUUUAGCCCUUUUUGCGAAAGAUUCUCACAAAUACGCCCCUGGCGAAAUCAAUUCCAAAAAUGGACCCUUAGCUUGGCGCCAUCCACGCUGGUGCCAAGCUUACACGUCUCGAUGCCAGGAUGGCUGGCGCCAAGAUCCAUGCGCAUUUGCUGGCGUGGAUGGCGACGUGGCGGGGGCUUGGCACCAUGGAUCUUGGCGCCAAGCUUGGCGCCGUACUCCUCGGCGCCGAACAAUUUAUCCCAUCCUCCUGACGUUUUGAACGAAAUAACUAUAAUUAUUCCGAGGAGUGUGUAACAAACUACGCUCUAGUUCAACUGGUUAGGAUGUGGGAUUCUUUUCCCAAAGACCUAAGUUCGAACCCCUGUGUUGAAUCAACACAAGGAUUCGAACUCAGAUCUUCGGGAUAAGGAGCCCACGUCAUAACCAGUUGAACUAGAGCGUAGUUUGUUGCACACUCCUCAAAAUAAUUAUACUUAUUUCAUUUGAAAUGUCAGGAGGAUGGGAUAAAUUGCUCGGCGUCGAGGACUACGGCGCCAAGCUUGGCGCCAAGAUCCAUGGCGCCAAGCCCCCGCCACGUCACCAUCCACACCAGCAGUUGCGCAUAGACCUUGGCGCCAGCCAUCCUGGCGCCGAGACGUGUAAGCUUGGCGCCAGCGUGGAUGGCGCCAAGCUAAGGAUCCAUUUUUGGAAUUAGUUUCGCCAGGAGCAUAUUUGUGAGAAUCUUUCAAAAAGGGCCUAAAAAACAAAAAAGUUGGUCUUUCUGCUAAUUAAGAAAGUAUGGCUCCAUCUCAUGAACAUCUGCAGUUCUUAGCUCAAGAUGAGAAUUAGACCAGCCUAAGCCCAACAAACAAGCUUUUGCUCAAUUGCAGAGGAACCCAUCCGUCCUCAGCCUGCCAGGCUACCGAUGGUUGAUGGAUGCUUCCGCUUCCUCUCCUUUCUUUGUGCCGCUGCUGCUCAGCUGGUGCUCCAAUCUCACGAUUCCAAGCCACCAUCCGCUGGUUCGCCCGUGUGCAAGAUGCAGCACCAGUAGCCACUAACCCACUAAGCUGCUAAACCAUGGAGCUACCCUCCAAGCUCCCUCCGUACGAUUUUAAUCUCCAAUUGCAACUAUGCUUUAGAAUUAGAUUGAGGUAGGGGUUAGGGCUAAUUAAAUUAUGCAAUCCAUGGAAAGCUAAUUGAGUUGGAAGAGCUUUCAAGUUACAGAUCUUGAAGCACUAGCUUUAAUUGCUUGUUAUCAACAAACAUAUGUAUGAUCUUGCCAAAUUCGUAGCUUCAAUUACUUGUUAUCUAUAUAUGCUCUGUCUAUGCUCUGUCCAAGUUCGUAUAAGUAUACUAUAUGCAUAUGUCAUCAUGUACAAUUGUUGUCGGUAUUGCUUGCCUGGCUCCCCUACGUUCAAAUCCUGACUACGCCCUUGGCCCUCGGUAGUCAUCUUAUCAAUUUAUUUUGGAGUGAAAUUUCUCAACAACCACAUAAUCAUAAUGGUUCUGUGGUCAAACGUGAUGGUUUUGCUAAUUUUGCAUGUGCUGAAAUUACCUUACCUUUAUUUUGUAGAUUUAUUUUAUUAUCAGAAGAUAUGACCAGUAGUCUCGCGUGGACAACGGACAAUAUUCACCCUUCAAUUCAGAGAUAUCUUGACGCACAUGUUCCGUGUUCCUGCACAGGAUUAAUUCUGAACGCAAAAAAAUGAAAGUUAAUUCGACAUCACCAAAUUUUUGCAACUUCCAAAAUUUUCUUCGAGUUCUUCAAUCUGUCUUUAAAAAAACAAAAUACAUACCUACCUCCUCAAUCGUCAGUUCGUCAUCGCAAUAAAUUUCAAAAAAAGUUCGUCAUCGCAAAACAUUGAACAAGAAAGAGACUAGGUUCCAACCAAUGCUUCGCUGCCAGCUUUCAUCCUUCAUGAAGAAUAAGUUAGGUUUAGUGCCUACUCCUAAUUAGUAAUUGCGUAUGGUAAUCGGCAAAGUACUACGUCUAAUUAAGUUAAACACAAGAGAGAUCGAUGGAGUUGCUAUGACCAAGAAAGGCAAGAUGCUUAUGGAUUGACCUGAUGGAUGAUAUAUUUUGAUCGUGUUUGAGCACCUUGUCUGAAGAACACCGCGAAGUUUGCAGCAAGCAACCUACAGCAUGUGCUGACGUGCCUCUCCAACCACAAAUCAUGAGGAGUUUAUUAGGACACAUCAAUGUCCAACGUGUUUCAGUGCUACAAAAUCAUUUCCCGUUUCACGAAGAUAUAUGACAACGCAACAUAACUUUAGGAAAAUCUUCUCAAAAUAGAAAGGAGCUUUGCCGCGAGAAAAAGGAGUAACGUAACCUGUUGGUUGUUGAAACCAGGCAACCAGCAGUCAUGACGACUCACGCUAUGCUUUCUCAAGAGUCAAGACUCAUGGAGAAGCCCUUGUGUUCGGUAAAGAGAAGCCCUUGUGUUUGGUAGCGAAAAGAGUCCUUCUGACCAUGAACGAAAUAGGCAAAAUCCAAAGUGGUGUUCAGAUUCUCCUCGCCGUCCUAGACUCCUACCUGGAGGCUGGACUGUACUCACUUUUCGUCCUUCACUUGCUACUGAUGCUAGCAGUAAAAAGUACGUUGUACAACAAGUGCUAAAGGUAGAACAAGGGGAUAUGCAAUCCUAUAACUCAUCCAACAAGAUGAGAGAUCUCUAAUUUGUGAUCACGAUCACAGCCACACGUCAAUCAUUGUGGACGACAAGUCUCACCCCGGAUCUGGUAGCCUUGACUAACAAAGCCAUUAGCCAUAUCCUCUCAUUUUGGCGCAUGUACCAACCAAAUAGACGACUGCGGGCUGCGGCUGGGCGGGCAAUAUGCAGCCACAAGGUCUGUAGUCUUCCCGUUCCUGUCGCCACAUUAAAAGACCACGUGUCUGGAGUGAACAGAAUAUGCACGGAAACACACCCGAGUCCGACCAUGGCCCCUGCACUCGGGCCCCCGUGGCAUCUGACCGGAGACUGAACCCACAACGCACCUACUCCUGCGUAGAAAACUAGAAACUUCGGGUUCGUCGCGCUGCGACCAUUCUACCCGGGUCGACGUCCGUUGCUGCAGUGCCAGGGGACGCAAGGUUGCCUUGUUCUGAUGGGGGAAAAAGGACCCCGCUGUUUUGAAGCGUUCUCGGCCGCGCGCGUUUAGUUUAGCGGCCUAGCGAUUAGUUUAUACGCCUAACAAAUCCCUUGCUCACCAACCAACUAACCCAUCACGUGCCGGCCGGGACGAUCUCUCCGUACGCGCGCUUUGCUUGCUUCCUAUAUAAGCAGAGAGAGGCAGCAUUGCACCACAGCAGCGGACAGCGGCCAGAGCCCGAACGGAGCAAAAGCGCCGAAGGGAGAGCACAGAGCAAAAAGCUUUCUUUGCAUCUCAUCACUUGCGUUUCCCACAAGGCCACUGGCCACCAGAAAUCCAGAAUCGCCUCGCGCUCCGCUCGCAGCUAGGCCUCCGUCGGCGAUCGGCAUGGACGCGGGGGACGACAUGGAGAGGGGCGCGGGCGCGCCAGUCCUGCUGCCCGAGGUAACGAUCCAGAACUCCGACCCCUUCGCUCGCUCGCAAGCCACAUUCGCUGUUAGCCGCCGCCCGCCGGCAUCUCCCUUCCUCCACGAAGUACUUUACAGAAUGACCACACUGAUCAGCAAAUGGUGCGAUGUUGGUUAGUGAUCAGCAAAUGCAGCAUUUCUAUCAGUCGCUUCACCGGUGAACAGAAAAUCAGUGCCGGUGUAGAUUUUAGUUGAUGUUUUUCGUUGCUGGAUAUUGGAUGCACCGCGACGUCACACUGAUGCUGACGUCGAAUGCAACUUUUUCUAAGGAGCAAAGUCUAACCUAGUGAAGAGAGAGGGAUUAAACAUCUUUAAAUGGUCGAUAGUUGCUAGGCACAUUAAAAUUGAGCUUUUAAGAUUCUUUUUUUUUCCUUUGCCUAAAAUUAAACUUAUGUUUUCACGCACGAGGUUUCAUAGAGAAGAUUCCAAGAAAAAUCAACAAAAGCACAUGCAUACACACAUCUGCCUGUCACUUAAUACUAGUCUUACAUUCAUCGUCAGCCAAGCACAAGAGAAACACUUAUGCAUGCAAAUAGCAUCCACAUCAUACUACUACAUCAUAUCCAUGACCAUUCAACAUUCAACAAGUAGAAUAUGCAGAUUCUCCUUGUUGCUGACAAUUUGUGGAAAUUUUCUCCAUUGCAGAGCAACGGGCCAAAGAUUCAGGACGACAGCCUGCAAGUGCCACUAUUGAAGGAUAAAAAACGCGCAGGCAGCAAGGCACCAGCAGUUGUGCUAGGUGAGCAACCCUCUCCACGUUCAAUUCUACCCUUUUUACAAAUAAAUUCUAGUUUUACUGCGAUAAUUUACAAUAACAAAAUCUAAGAAACAAUAACAUUAUUAUAUUUUGACAUGUACUAAUUACCGGAUGCUUGCCUAUGCUGUGUGCAGGGUUCGAGUGCUUGGAGAGCACAGGGUUCUUUGGCAUCUCCACGAACCUGGUCGUGUACCUGGAGAAAGUCCUCCACGGCAGCAAUCUGGCCAGCGCCUCCAAAGUCACUACAUGGACCGGCACCAGCUACCUGACCCCGAUCUUCGGCGCCAUCAUCGCCGACACCUUCUUGGGCAACUACAACACCAUCCUCAUCUCCCUCGUCGUC